GACGAACGCUGGCGGCGUGCCUAAUACAUGCAAGUCGAACGCAGUGGGGACGGGUGAGUAACACGUGGGUAACCUCCCAUAAGAGGGGAUAACCCUUGGAUACAGCUGCUAAACCGAGAUGGAUGGAUGGACUCGCGGUGCAUUAGCUAGUUGGUGGGGUAACGGCUUACCAAGGCUACGAUGCAUAGCCGACCUGAGAGGGUGACCAGCCACACGGGGACUGAGACACGGCCCAGACUCCUACGGGAGGCAGCAGUAGGGAAUAUUGCGCAAUGGGCGAAAGUCUGACCGAGCAACGCCGCGUGAGUGAAGAAGGUGUUCGGGUCGUAAAACUCUGUUGUUAGAGAGGCGGUAUCUAACCAGAAAGCCCCGGCUAACUACGUGCCAGCAGCCGCGGUAAUUC
rnacentral:rRNA from 1 species